rnacentral:rRNA from 1 species
AACGAACGCUGGCGGCAGGCUUAACACAUGCAAGUCGAACGCAUCCUUCGGGGUGAGUGGCAGACGGGUGAGUAACGCGUGGGAACGUGCCCUUCAGUUCGGGAUAACCCCGGGAAACUUGGGCUAAUACCGGAUACGUGCGAGAGCAGAAAGAUUUAUCGCUGAAGGAUCGGCCCGCGUCUGAUUAGCUAGUUGGUGGGGUAAUGGCCCACCAAGGCGACGAUCAGUAGCUGGUCUGAGAGGAUGAUCAGCCACAUUGGGACUGAGACACGGCCCAAACUCCUACGGGAGGCAGCAGUGGGGAAUAUUGGACAAUGGGCGCAAGCCUGAUCCAGCCAUGCCGCGUGAGUGAUGAAGGCCUUAGGGUUGUAAAGCUCUUUCAUCCGGGACGAUAAUGACGGUACCGGAAGAAGAAGCCCCGGCUAACUUCGUGCCAGCAGCCGCCGUAA